ensembl:snoRNA SNORD116 Small nucleolar RNA SNORD116
GGAUCGAUGAUGACACCCACAAACGCAUUCCUUGGAAAAUCUGAACAAAUGAGUGAGAACUCACUACCGUCUCCUCAUCGCAAACUGAGGUCC